rnacentral:rRNA from 1 species
GAUGAACGCUGGCGGCGUGCCUAACACAUGCAAGUCGAGCGAACAGACGCGGAGCUUGCUCCUCUGACGUUAUCGGCGGCCAGGUGAUUAACACGUCGAUAAUCUCCUUCUCCGACUUUGAUAAUUACGGGAUACCAGAGUUACUACCGGAUAAUAUUUUGGACCUCUUGGUUCAUUAGUGAAAGACGGUUUUGGUGUCACUGAUAGAUGGAUUCGCGCCGUAUCAGCUAGUUGGUAAGGUAAUGGCUUACCAAGGCAACGAUGCGUAGCCGACCUGAGAGGGUGAUCGGCCACACUGGAACUGAGACACGGUCCAGACUACUACGGGAGGCAGCAGUAGGGAAGCUUCCGGAAUGGGCGAAAGAAUGACGGAGCAACGCCGCGGGAGUGAUGAAGGUCUCCGGAUCGUAAAGCUCUGUUAUUGGGGAAGAAGAAGUGUGUAAGUAACUAUGGACGUCUUGACGGUACCUAAACAGAAAGCCACGGCUAACUACGUG